rnacentral:rRNA from 1 species
UACGAAGGGGGCUAGCGUUGUUCGGAUUUACUGGGCGUAAAGCGCACGUAGGCGGAUCGUUAAGUCAGAGGUGAAAUCCCAAGGCUCAACCUUGGAACUGCCUUUGAUACUGGGGAUCUUGAGUCCGGGAGAGGUGAGUGGAACUGCGAGUGUAGAGGUGAAAUUCGUAGAUAUUCGCAAGAACACCAGUGGCGAAGGCGGCUCACUGGCUCGGUAUUGACGCUGAGGUGCGAAAGCGUGGGGAGCAAACAGG